AAGGUUCGACUCGAGCGCCAGCGAGAGAGCGUUGCCGCAGGCAACGACCCGAA
rnacentral:sRNA from 1 species